UCGCACGUGCUCAGUUUAUAUCUUCAACUGCCACCAGCCAGAUCUACUGUUAGAAGCCGUGGCAGUUACAUGGAGGGAGCUACAGCAGAAAGGACACCCCCCCCUGAGCUACCAGCCUGAGGAGAAUCUAGCAGAACAGUUGGAGCAAUGAAUGGAGAGAUCUCUGGAUCCAUGUGAGGUACAGGGCUGGUUUUAGCUUUGUUAGAGAUAGGUUUCCAUGUCCUAU